AUUGAACGCUGGCGGCAUGCUUUACACAUGCAAGUCGAGCGGUAACAGGCCUUCGGGUGCUGACGAGUGGCGAACGGGUGAGUAAUGCAUCGGAACGUGCCCAGAGGUGGGGGAUAACGCAGCGAAAGCUGUGCUAAUACCGCAUGUGAUCUGAGUAUGAAAGCGGGGGACCAGGCAGCAAUGUUUGGCCUCGCGCCUUUGGAGCGGCCGAUGUCAGAUUAGGUAGUUGGUGGGGUAAAGGCCUACCAAGCCGACGAUCUGUAGCUGGUCUGAGAGGACGACCAGCCACACUGGGACUGAGACACGGCCCAGACUCCUACGGGAGGCAGCAGUGGGGAAUUUUGGACAAUGGGCGCAAGCCUGAUCCAGCAAUGCCGCGUGCGGGAAGAAGGCCUUCGGGUUGUAAACCGCUUUUGUACGGAACGAAAAGGCUCUGGCUAAUACCUGGGGCUGAUGACGGUACCGUAAGAAUAAGCACCGGCUAACUACGUG
rnacentral:rRNA from 1 species